GACAUGGGGGUUGCGAUCUCCCCACGAGGCGACAGGCUGAAGCAUCGCGUCCUGCUUUUGCGAAAGGGCGCGUUAUG
rfam:Sphingomonas sp. 66-10 SCNpilot_cont_300_bf_scaffold_428, whole genome shotgun sequence.